GCCCUGCUGGCGCAAUGGUAGCGCGUCAGACUUCUAUUAGAGUUCCUCUUGUAGCGAUCUGAAGGUUGCGGGUUCGAGCCCCGCGUGGGGUU
rnacentral:tRNA from 1 species